CUGGUUCGUUCUCUGUGUUGUUGUUGCUGCCAAAGGGAAAAGCGUGUUGCGCAUGCGCAGCACUAACUGUCACGCAGAGAGCUUUCACCGGAUUGGUCGGCUGUCUGCGCUUGCUGCAGUAACGAAAACAGGAGACCUAGCUGGAGGUGCCAGAGCUGGAAAUGCUGAGCCUAAAAGAACAUUCAUGGGUGUAGUGAAAGAGGACGUGCGAAGGAGUGGUAUGAAGGCAGAUGAUGCUACAGUGACCCCUAAAGGAAGCAGCUGAAAUGAUCAUCAUCAUCAUCAUCAUUAUUAUUUGUGUAUGUUAUUGGUUGCAUGUAAAUGCCUUUUAUCUGUCUGAUUUUGUUUAUUGACCUACACCACAACUCCAAAUGUCUUUUAGUCACUCAGUCUUUUGGUGUCACCAGCUCCAAAAGUGCUCCCCCAGCAGACCAACAAACUACACUGCAUUCUCAGCAACUGAGUGAUAGACAAGCGCCAUCAUUUUGCUGCACAUGAUUUUUGGAUACAGCCUCUGCAUUUGGCCUUCCAGUUCAACCUGUAGAUGUGAAUGCCUAGGUAGUUGUACUGCUCCAUCAAGUCAACAUCUUGUCCCAGGACAGAAAUGGGGAAUAUAGCCAUCCUCUUUCAGAAGCAGAUGAUUACUCCCAGACCACUCCACAAAAUCACCCACCAGUGCGCUGUACUAGUAAAAACAACUGAACUGUUAUGUUAUUUGCCACAAACACUUUGGGGUUAAUUCCUCAUGUGAAUUUGACAAAUUACCAGUGUGAUAUAUAUAAACAUAAAUGAUCAUAUGUCAGCCUGGAAAGCAUUUUUAUCUCUUUGUCCCCUUACCCUGCACCCUGAGACAAUGCACCACAUUUUGAUAGGCUCAACUUUACAAGUCAUCACAUGUGAGAAAACCAUGUGGCUGAAAAAGAGAAGUGCAUGUAUCCCUGGUGACACCUCAAAAAGGAACAGGAAAUGCACAAGUGUAUAAAGAGUUUAAUAUAAGAGCAUAAAAUGAAAUUUCAACUUCAGUUUUGAUAUUGAGAUAUAUGAUCAGACAGUCAAACCUUCAGCCUUUAUAGCUUGUGCACAUUUAUCUAUUUAGUUACAAAAUGAAUACCAAACAUUCCCCCUACAGAUUUUGGUGGGAUGUGAUAACCACAGUUGCAAUUUGGGAAAUGAACAAGGCGAAACUUAUUUACUUGCUUAUUUAAUAAAAUCUCUCCAUAGACAUCAUAACUUCAGUGUAAUACAAUAUAGAAUUAUAUGCAUAGAUUUUAACUCAAAGUGCAGCUAACAGGAAUAAAAACUAGAUCAAAGUACUAUUUGAUGUAACCACUCUGUGUUUUUGAGCAUGCAAUGUAGGUACACAUGCACACAUAUAGUUUGCACACAUCUGUAAUUAGUUUGUUAUGUUGUGAGAAUUUUGGGGCCAAUCAGAAAUUUGCUUGUAAGCGUCUGAGUCAUUCUGACCCAUGAGUAGUGAAACAGUAUCACAGCAUCGUUAAAACUCCUGUUUUAAUACAUCAGCAUCACAUGUUUCAUGUUUUUUCAUGUGAAACCUUUGUCUGCUAAAUGUAACAAAUAAAUGUGGUGAGGAAAAAAAAGCAUCACAUGAGUGGAAUGAUGAUGUAAUAUCGAUAAAUCAUCCAUCCAUCCAUCCUUCCAUUCAUCCAUCCAUCUUCUUUUGCUUAUCCAGGGCUGGGUUGCGGCAGCAGCCCAAGCAAAGAAGCCCAGAUCUCCCCAGCCACCUCCUCCAGCUUAUCCGGGGGAACACCAAGGCGUUCCCAGGCCAGCCGAGAGA